GACGAACGCUGGCGGCGUGCUUAACACAUGCAAGUCGAGCGGUAAGGCCCUUUCGGGGGUACACGAGCGGCGAACGGGUGAGUAACACGUGAGCAACCUGCCCUUCUCUUUGGAAUAAGCGUUGGAAACGACGUCUAAUGCCGAAUAUGACCCCCUGUCGCAUGGUGGGGGGUGGAAAGCUCUGGCGGAGAAGGAUGGGCUCGCGGCCUAUCAGCUUGUUGGUGUGGGUAAUGGCCCACCAAGGCGACGACGGGUAGCCGGGCGGAGAGGGUGACCGGCCACACUGGGACUGAGACACGGCCCAGACUCCUACGGGAGGCAGCAGUGGGGAAUAUUGGACAAUGGGCGAAAGCCUGAUUCAGCAACGCCGCGUGAGGGAUGACGGCCUUCGGGUUGUAAACCUCUUUCAGCAGGGACGAAGCGAGAGUGACGGUACCUGCAGAAGAAGGACCGGCCAACUACGUGCCAGCAGCCGCGGUAA
rnacentral:rRNA from 1 species